rnacentral:misc_RNA from 1 species
UACGUAGGGGGCGAGCGUUGUCCGAAGUUACUGGGCGUAAAGCGCGCGUAGGCUGUCUUUUAAGUCUGGUGUGAAAGGUUCAGGGCUCAACCCGAACAGUGCACUGGAUACUGGAAGACUUGAGUGCGGGAGAGGAGAGUGGAAUUCCUGGUGUAGCGGUGAAAUGCGUAGAUAUCAGGAGGAACACCGAUGGCGAAGGCAGCUCUCUGGCCUGCAACUGACGCUGAGGUGCGAAAGCGUGGGGAGCGAACGGG